UAACUACUCCCUCUGUUUCAUAAUUUUUGUCUCAAAUUUGCACAAAUAUGGAUGUAUCUAUUACUAAAAAGCGUUUAGAUACAUUAAUAUUUCGACAAGAAUUAUGGAACGGAGUAAGUAAUUU
rnacentral:pre_miRNA from 1 species